rnacentral:lncRNA from 1 species
AGACAAUUAUGACAUCAUGCUACAAAAAAAAAAAAAAAAAAUUGCAAUACAUUACACACAUUUUUUGCUUAGCUUUAUGUUAUACAAUAAUUUCUAUAUGCAUUGUUACACUGUGGCUAAUCCUAUACUGUCCUAAAUGAAUAAAUUACUUAGAAAAACUAUUUUUCCUAAGAUUCAGUACUCACUCUCAUAUCGUUCCAGAGCUGUACGGGUUUUCUUUCGCAAAACACAAAUUUAGAUGUUAGUCAAAAUGGCAGCAUGAGUCUCUAUCCACUUUCAUUUGUUUUCUUUCAUUCUUUCUUUCUUUUCUUUCUUUUCUUUCUUUUAUAAUAAGAGCAAAUUAAGAAUGACACAGUCUGUCAUUGCAUUUUGUGUCCCUCGGGAGUUAUAGCUGGUUUGCAACGACACGAGAACUUUAUUUUAGAGUGUACUGUGUGAGUUGUAUCAGACGCGCUUAUAAACCAGGCUGCCAGAACAUUAUUGUGGGCGUUUCUUCAUUACUGUCCAGCUUUUAGAGUUCAAAACUGAGCAAAAGCUCUCAGUAAACAUAAAUGGGAAGCGCUGCUGGAACCAAGAUCAUUGUGAAACAGACCUCACCAGCAUUUUGUGCGUUAUGGAUGACAAAGAAAAAGAUACAGGUGUGUUUCUUGUCAUGGAAAGGGUUACAAAGGCUGCCUCAUGUGUAACGGUUACAGAAAGCUUGUGUAUUCCAUGCAGCUCACAGUUACAUGGAAGAACCAGGUGUUUGUGUUUAUACCCAACCGGGUGCCUGGAUUCCCUCUGAAGAAGUUCGAGAAGGUGUCUGGGGAAGCGUUCUUUGUAGAUGAUAAUCUCUCCUGGUAUACAUCGAUUCAUUCAUUCUGCUGUGAGCCGCAUCCUAAAGCAAGUGAGCAGAAACUGAACCAGCAGUCUGCUGCCAAAUGCACAGCAAAAUUAUGGUGUCAAACAAUUGCGCUGGUGCCGCUCACUCAUGUAUUUUACGCUUACAGUGGAGAAGACUACGAGAAAACAAAGUUCACACCACCAAAUACCCUUCUUCUUGCAGCAUUUUGUAAAAACUGA